rnacentral:misc_RNA from 1 species
GAUGAAGAACGUAGCGAAAUGCGAUAAGUAAUGUGAAUUACAGAAUUCCGUGAAUCAUCGAGUCUUUGAACGCACAUUGCGCCCCCUGGCAUUCCGGGGGGCAUGCCUGUCCGAGCGUCAUUGCUGCCCUUCAAGCCCGGCUUGUGUGUUGGGUCGUCGUCCCCCCCGGGGGACGGGCCCGAAAGGCAGCGGCGGCACCGCGUCCGGUCCUCGAGCGUAUGGGGCUUUGUCACCCGCUCGAUUAGGGCCGGCCGGGCGCCAGCCGGCGUCUCCAACCUUCUAUUUUACCAGGUUGACCUCGGAUCAGGUAGGGAUACCCGCUGAACUUAAGCAUAUCAAUAAGCGGAGGA